GACGAACGCUGGCGGCGUGCUUAACACAUGCAAGUCGAACGCUGAAGCCCUUUCGGGGGUGGAUGAGUGGCGAACGGGUGAGUAACACGUGGGUAAUCUGCCCUGCACUCUGGGAUAAGCCUUGGAAACGGGGUCUAAUACCGGAUAGGACACAUCGCCGCAUGGGGUGUGUGUGGAAAGUUCCGGCGGUGCAGGUUGAGCCCGCGGCCUAUCAGCUUGUUGGUGGGGUGAUGGCCUACCAAGGCGACGACGGGUAGCCGGCCUGAGAGGGUGACCGGCCACACUGGGACUGAGACACGGCCCAGACUCCUACGGGAGGCAGCAGUGGGGAAUCUUGCGCAAUGGGCGAAAGCCUGACGCAGCAACGCCGCGUGGGGGAUGACGGCCUUCGGGUUGUAAACCUCUUUCGACCAGGACGAAGGGUGACUGACGGUACCGGCAGAAGAAGCACCGGCUAACUACGUGCCAGCAGCCGCCGCGG
rnacentral:rRNA from 1 species